rnacentral:rRNA from 1 species
UACGUAGGUGGCAAGCGUUGUCCGGAUUUAUUGGGCGUAAAGAGCGCGCAGGCGGUUCGUUUAGUCCGAGGUGAAAUCUCCCGGCUCAACUGGGAGGGGUCUUUGGAUACUGGCGGACUUGAGGAGAGCAGAGGUGAGUGGAAUUCUGGGUGUAGUGGUGAAAUGCGUAGAUAUCCAGAGGAACACCAGCGGCGAAGGCGGCUGCCUGGGCCUGGCCUGACGCUGAGGCGCGAAAGCGUGGGGAGCAAUCCGG